GUGAUGGCACGAUAACUGAACAUUGAUCGCUAAAAACGGUUUAGUUUGCAGAUCUGUCCAGUGGCAUGCAUCACAACUCUAACGUCACAAGUCUUUCUUCUGUGUCAUCGGUGAUCUCUCGCUGCACGGCAACGGGCCGCACGAUUGAUGACAUCUAUGACACGAGAUUCUAUCGCCAUACGAAAUUAGUUGACAUUGUAAUUAUACAAGUAAGCUUAGCUUUGGAUU
rnacentral:snRNA from 1 species